UACGUAGGGACCAAGCGUUGUUCGGAUUUACUGGGCGUAAAGGGCGCGUAGGCGGCAUGACAAGUCACUUGUGAAAUCUCCGGGCUUAACUCGGAACGGUCAAGUGAUACUGUCGCGCUAGAGUGCGGAAGGGGCAAUCAGAAUUCUUGGUGUAGCGGUGAAAUGCGUAGAUAUCAAGAGGAACACCUGCGGCGAAGGCGGGUUGCUGGGCCGACACUGACGCUGAUGCGCGAAAGCUAGGGGAGCGAACGGG
rnacentral:rRNA from 1 species